rnacentral:rRNA from 1 species
CGCUACGUAUUGCUGGUUUGAUGCAGUCGAGCGGCAGCGACAACAUUGAUUCUUCGGAGGAUUUGUUGGGCGGCGAGCGGCGGACGGGUGAGUAAUGGCUGGGAACCUGCCCUGACGUGGGGGAUAACAGUUGGAAACGACUGCUAAUACCGCAUGAUGUCUUCGGACCAAAGAGGAGGACCUUCGGGCUUCUCGCGUCGGGAUGGGCCCAGUUGGGAUUAGCUAGUUGGUGAGGUAAUGGCUCACCAAGGCGACGAUCCCUAGCUGGUUUGAGAGGAUGAUCAGCCACACUGGAACUGAGACACGGUCCAGACUCCUACGGGAGGCAGCAGUGGGGAAUAUUGCACAAUGGGCGCAAGCCUGAUGCAGCCAUGCCGCGUGUGUGAAGAAGGCCUUCGGGUUGUAAAGCACUUUCAGCAGUGAGGAAGACUAAUGAGUUAAUACCUCCUUAUCUUGACGUUAGCUGCAGAAGAAGCACCGGCUAACUCCGUGCCAGCAGCCGCGGUAAUACGGAGGGUGCGAGCGUUAAUCGGAAUUACUGGGCGUAAAGCGCAUGCAGGCGGUUUGUUAAGCAAGAUGUGAAAGCCCCGGGCUCAACCUGGGAACCGCAUUUUGAACUGGCAGGCUAGAGUCUUGUAGAGGGGGGUAGAAUUUCAGGUGUAGC